rnacentral:other from 1 species
AAUCCCCUGCGGUGCCCGUUUAGGUCAUAGAUUCCUUGAACCUAUGCUAAUGCGCAUCCGGUUGCGAACCGUUGAUCCGCUGUUGCGAACGCCCCUGGUCGGGCGUACCUGAUGCGGUAGGAACGCGACCACCCUGGACCCUCGGUUCAGGAUGCUGGCCUGACGACAUUCGCGGGGGGCCA